CUACGGGACGCAGCAGUGAGGAAUAUUGCACAAUGGGGGGAACCCUGAUGCAGCAACGCUGCGUGGAGGAUGACGCAUUUCGGUGUGUAAACUCCUUUUAUAUGUCAAGAAAAUGACGGUAGCAUAUGAAUAAGCACCGGCUAACUCCGUGCCAGCAGCCGCGGUAAUACGGAGGGUGCAAGCGUUACUCGGAAUCACUGGGCGUAAAGGACGCGUAGGCGGGUUGGAAAGUCAGGUGUGAAAUCCUACAGCUUAACUGUAGAACUGCACUUGAAACUUCUGAUCUAGAGUAUGGGAGGGGGAGAUGGAAUUAGUGGUGUAGGGGUAAAAUCCGUAGAUAUCACUAGGAAUACCUAAAGCGAAGGCGAUCUCCUGGAACAUUACUGACGCUAAGGCGUGAAAGCGUGGGGAGCAAACAGGAUUAGAUACCCGUGUAGUC
rnacentral:rRNA from 1 species